rnacentral:rRNA from 1 species
AACGAACGCUGGCGGCAGGCUUAACAUAUGCAAGUCGAACGCGUGCAGCAAUGCACGAGUGGCGCACGGGUGAGUAACGCGUGGAUAUCUGCCUUUUGGUUCGGAAUAACCCCGGGAAACUGGGGCUAAUACCGGAUGGUUCCUACGGGAUAAAGAUUUAUCGCCAAAAGAUGAGUCCGCGUCCGAUUAGCUAGUUGGUGAGGUAAUGGCUCACCAAGGCGACGAUCGGUAGCUGGUCUGAGAGGACGAUCAGCCACACUGGGACUGAGACACGGCCCAGACUCCUACGGGAGGCAGCAGUGGGGAAUAUUGGACAAUGGGGGCAACCCUGAUCCAGCCAUGCCGCGUGAGUGAUGAAGGCCUUCGGGUUGUAAAGCUCUUUUGGCGGGGACGAUGAUGACGGUACCCGCAGAAUAAGCCCCGGCUAACUUCGUG